GGAACAGAAGACGACGUUACUGGAGAUGGCGUGACGUGAUUUCAAGUGUUUGCAUCAUGCUUGCGCGUGUCUCAACAUGUUUCCACUUCAUGAACAGUAUGUGGAGAUCAAGAAGAGGAGCGUGAUGAAGAGGCCAGCAAGAGGCACGCCGAUGACUCGCCGACGACUGGAACGCAACGCAAACGUCGACAUUUAAGAGCUAGGACGGCGCUCCGCAUACCUCCCACAUGAAUCAUAUAUGGACAUACAGUUGAAGAGCAGGCCUGCAGCUACAAACCUCCAAAAGCCACUUCCAACUUCCACUUUCCUGCUUGGCUGGUUUACUGCUGGGGCUUGCAUAACACGCAUGAAGAGAGUCUGACAAUGGAAGCAGCAGCUGCUACAAGCAACUACCGAACCACGCCGCCGAACAGGGCGCACACGCUCGCGCUGGCUGCGGCGCCCACUUUGACGACGGCAGUCCGGUCCAUGGCGGCACGCUUGGAUCUCCGCCACCCUUGCCGAGAGGAGUCCUCGUGUGUGCUGCGAGUCUCCC